rnacentral:rRNA from 1 species
GACGAACGCUGGCGGCGUGCCUAAUACAUGCAAGUCGAACGGUCUUUUCUAUGAAAGCUUGCUUUCACUGAAAAGAUAGUGGCGGACGGGUGAGUAACACGUGGGUAACCUGCCCAUAAGAGGGGGAUAACAUCCGGAAACGGGUGCUAAUACCGCAUAGUUUUUUUGGUCACAUGACUGAGAAAGGAAAGACGGCCUUUGUGCUGUCGCUUAUGGAUGGACCCGCGGCGUAUUAGUUAGUUGGGGAGGUAAUGGCUCACCAAGACGAUGAUACGUAGCCGACCUGAGAGGGUGAUCGGCCACAUUGGGACUGAGACACGGCCCAAACUCCUACGGGAGGCAGCAGUAGGGAAUCUUCCGCAAUGGAGGAAAGUCGGACGGAGCAACGCCGCGGGAGUGAAGAAGGUUUUGGGAUCGUAAAACUC